ensembl:lncRNA
GAAAAGCGGCGGAAGAAGGCAACCGAGUGGAGAAGCAUGAGAGAGAAGAAAGCGAGGGAGGAGUGUUGGAGAAGAAGACGGUGGAAGAGCAAGUGGACUGGGGGGAAAGUGCCCUGGUGGAAGAGAUGAGGGGUAUGGUGGAGGAGCUGGCGGGGGGGGGGGGUGGUGUCUCUCCACUGCCGCCAUCACCAAAGAAGAGAAUGAAGAGGAGGGUGCGAUUGGCCGACAGUGAGAGGGAGGGGAUGGCCAAGAGAGUGAUGGGGGUGGGAGAAACCUCUGGGUUGCUGCUGGUUUCCCCAGGCCCUCAACUUCUGUUGGGUGGGGACACACCUAACAAGACUCAAGACUGGGUACAGGAGGAGGUGGGGAGUUUUUUGUUUGGGGACUCAGCCUCCCGAUUUUUUUCCAAACCAGCUGCAGCACUGGGGAGGGGGAGGAGUGUGGGGGUAGACCCAGGGUGCAGGGCACCCCGGAGCCAAACACUAUUCCUGCAUCCUGGGUUGAUGAGAUGGAGGAAGAGGGGGGGAUGUCGGGAGUACAGAUGGUGUUCUCACCGGUAGAUAUGGAGCAGGGGAGCAUCGGGUGAGUCUCCUGUUUUUGUUUUUUUCUGUCUGGGUUUAGAAUUUGAGUGUAUUACAUGUUUUUAUUUUAUUAUUUCAUGGGGUCUAAUUUUACUUUUGUUAGUUUAAAUGUAAGGGGUUUAAGGGAUUUUGUUAAGAGGAGGGCGGUUUUUAGUUAUUUGGAGGGUGUGGGGUUUGAUUUUUGUUUUUUACAGGAGGUUCACCUGAGGGAUGGAGGGGAUGUUAGUAAGUUUAAGAGGGAGUGGGACAAGGGGGAGUCGGUUUGGGGUAUUGGGGGGGUGCACUCAUCGGGGGUAGGGAUUUUGUGUGGGCACAGGGAGGUAAAAGUGGAGGAUUCUUUUGUGGUAAUGCAGGGGAGGGUUAUAGGGGUGGAUGUCACGAUAAGGGAUUGUAAAUUUAGAUUAGUGGUGGUGUAUGGGCCACAGGUGGUGGCAGACAGGAGGGAGAUGGUGGACUGUCUGACGCCCCUGUGUGUCACAAAUAGGAAAUUAGUGAUAGGG